GAAGGCUUAUCACUAACAUGCUUGUUAUAGUCUUUUAUCUGUCCCUUCUUUUAUACUCAGGUCUCACUGUUAUGAUUCUUCAGACUGGAGAUUUAAUUGCUCACCCAGGAGUCAAAGUGGACAUUCAGUGUAGCAUAGGUGCAGGCUUCAGCAUGAGCAGCUACACUAUGCUCUGGUACCGACAAAACCACUACGGCGCGCCAAUGGAGUUCCUCCUUACAGAGUACGACAAAACUGCGGGGCACUUUAAGUCGUCGAUUGAUGUAUCCGAAGACAACUUCUUUCUUCAGAUUACAGAGCUGCAACUGAAUGACAGCAGCACCUACUACUACAUUCAAUGUGACACUGGAUCUGAAGCUCACUUUGGAAAGGGAACAAAACUCACUGUUUUGGGUAAGUCGGAGCGUUUUCACCUUCAGUUCACUGCAACAAACGUAAAAUAG